CGCUAGCGGCGUGCCUCAGAAUGCAAGUCGAACGCGAAAGUUUCCUUCGGGAGGCGAGUAUAGUGGCGCACGGGUGAGUAACACGUAAGUAAUCUACCUCUGGGUGGGGAAUAACAAUCGGAAACUAUUGCUAAUACCGCAUAAUGCAGCGGCUCCUUAUGGAGACAGUUGUUAAAGUAUUUAUAUGCCUGGAGAGGAGCUUGCGGCAGAUUAUCUAGUUGGUAAGGUAAUGGCUUACCAAGGCUACUAUCUGUACCCGACCUGGGAGGGUGGUCGGUCACACUGACACUGAAUAACGGGUCAGACUCCUACGGGAGGCAGCAAUCUGGAAUUUUGGGCAAUGGGCGAAAGCCUGACCCAGCAACGCCGCGUGAAGGAUGAAGUUUUUCGGGAUGUAAACUUCGUAAGAAUAGGAAGAAUAAAUGACGGUACUAUUUGUAAGGUCCGGCUAACUACGUGCCAGCAGCCGCGGUAAU
rnacentral:rRNA from 1 species